AAACCAACAGGGAUUGCCUUAGUAACGGCGAGUGAAGCGGCAAGAGCUCAAAUUUGAAAUCUAGCACUUUCAGUGUUCGAGUUGUAAUUUGAAGAAGGUAUCUUUGGAGUUGGCCCCUGUCUAUGUUCCUUGGAACAGGACGUCACAGAGGGUGAGAAUCCCGUGCGAUGGGGAGACCAAUUCUUUGUAAAGUUCCUUCGAAGAGUCGAGUUGUUUGGGAAUGCAGCUCUAAGUGGGUGGUAAAUUCCAUCUAAAGCUAAAUAUUGGCGAGAGACCGAUAGCGAACAAGUACAGUGAUGGAAAGAUGAAAAGAACUUUGAAAAGAGAGUGAAAAAGUACGUGAAAUUGUUGAAAGGGAAGGGCUUUUGAUCAGACUUGGUGUUUAACGAUCUCUUCUCCUUGUGGGAGGGGCUCUUGUUUUAUACUGGGCCAGCAUCGGUUUGGAUGGCAGGAUAAUGACAUUGGAACGUGGCUUCAUUCGUGAAGUGUUAUAGCCUUUGUUGAUACUGCCUAUCUAGACCGAGGACUGCGUCUUUGACUAGGAUGCUGGCGUAAUGAUUAAAAGCCGCCCGUCUUGAAACACGGACC
rnacentral:rRNA from 3 species